GACGAACGCUGGCGGCGUGCUUAACACAUGCAAGUCGAACGGAAAGGCCUUGCUUUUGUGGGGUGCUCGAGUGGCGAACGGGUGAGUAACACGUGAGUAACCUGCCCUUGACUUUGGGAUAACUUCAGGAAACUGGGGCUAAUACCGGAUAGGAGCUCCUGCUGCAUGGCGGUGGUUGGAAAGUUUCGGCGGUUGGGGAUGGACUCGCGGCGUAUCAGCUUGUUGGUGGGGUAGUGGCUUACCAAGGCUUUGACGGGUAGCCGGCCUGAGAGGGUGACCGGCCACAUUGGGACUGAGAUACGGCCCCGACUCCUACGGGAGGCAGCAGUGGGAAAUAUUGCACGAUGGGCGGAAGCCUGAUGCAGCAACGCCGCGUGCGGGAUGACGGCCUUGGGGUUGUAGACCGCUUUCGCCUGUGACGAAGCGUGAGUGACGGUAAUGGGUAAAGAAGCACCGGCUAAAUACGUG
rnacentral:rRNA from 1 species